CAGAAACCUUACAAUAAAUAUUUUUUUUUUAUAUUAAAUGAAGUGAUACUACUAAUAAGAAGAAAAUUUGAUAUACCAGCAAAACACAUCGAUCAGUAUCAAAAUCAGACCUCAAUAUAAGUCAAUUGAAAACUUAAUAAAAUACAAUAGAAAAAUCUGUGAAAAUUUCAAGUGUCUCACUUUCUCGGUUCAUGAGAUACAGCCUGGUGACAGACGGACAGAUACCUAGUCAUCAGGAUUACCUAAGCCAAUUGCAAGUGCAGUAAAUCCCCCAGAAUUUUGUCUUGGUAGAAGACAGAUGGGAUGGUGAGCGCUUGCUUGACAUGUAAUAGAGAAUUUACUGUAA